rnacentral:lncRNA from 1 species
UGAUGCCUUGUUUUUAAUAAGAAUUUUAACUUCUAUACGCUGAAGAAUGUAAAGUUACACUUGUCAAAUCACUUAAACUACAGAUGAUUGUCAACACACAAGUUUAAUGUUAUUAAUUUAGUUAGAUUGGUGUUAAGGACUCAUUGUUUCAUUUUACAACCAUGAAAAAUUUUUAAGCUAUGUCAUAAGUUUUAAACCCUUUUGGGAGUAGAUGAGAAUUCUUUCAAACACAACUAGGACCACAACAUUCAGAUAUGGUGAAUCACUGCAUUAUUUCAUCUAUCUAAACAAAAAGAGCCAAACCUACAGUAGCUCAUUCACGUGAACAUCACUAUCUUUAGCCAAACUCAUAGCAUAUUUUUCAAUGGCAUGGGUCCCCUAAGAUA